rnacentral:tRNA from 1 species
AUAGAUUUAGCUUAUUUAAAAGCACCUAACUGUUAAUUAGGAAGAUUCACAUCUAUUAAUGCC